AAACCAACAGGGAUUGCUCUAGUAACGGCGAGUGAACAAGCAAAAGCUCAGUUUUGAAAGCCUGCUUGCAGGCGUUGUAUUCUGAAGCCUAGAUUCUGGGAAACGGUACUUAAGUCUUCUGGAAAGGAGCGCCACGGAGGGUGAUAGCCCCGUACGGUACUGACCCCAUUGUAGUUUCUAGGCGUGGAGUCGAGUUGUUUGGGAAUGCAGCUCAAAUGGGAGGUAUGCUCCUUCUAAAGCUAAAUAUUUGCGAGAGACCGAUAGCGAACAAGUACUGUGAAGGAAAGAUGAAAAGAACUUUGAAAAGAGAGUGAAAUAGGACGUGAAAUUGUUGAAAUGGAAGGGUAGGCCGCUAACCAUGUAGGACCGUGUUUGAGGGGAAGAUAAAAGCUUCGGAAUGUAGCUCCUCGGAGUGUUAUAGCCGAAGUCAAUGUUCCCACUCGAGCGCGAGGUUCUCAGGUUCUACUAAAUGGUGGUCUACCACCCGUCUUGA
rnacentral:rRNA from 1 species